CUGCACCCCGCGCUGAGUGCAAACACUGCACCUCCUGCAUCCUGCUGCUGCUCUGACCCCAUGGCCCCAAUGGGGCCACUUUGCACAGUCCGACUCGUUUGGGGAUCCCCUACUCACUGCAGGCUUUGCUGGUGCAGUAGAUGGAUGGCACCCAGAGGUUGGAGGAGCCCGUGUCAAAUACCACCGUGAAGUUCUGGGGGGGCGUCCCGAUGGAAAUCUGCCCGAAGUACUCCAUCUGGGAAAGGCAGAGCAGAGGCUGCUGUUGGCCACUGGCGCCGCAAAGCACCCUGGCAGAGGGGCUGUGUGUGGGGUGAAUAGGGGUCAGUGUGAGGAUGGCUGCAUUGUGAAGCAUUUGUCUGCCUGGGCUGCAUUGUGCAGAGGGAAUAGAGAAGCCAAAUAUAUAAGGAACGGCAAUGCAAGCUGAGAACAAAGGCAGGAUGGCGGGCGUGGGCAUGAGCCUCUUCCCACAGGGUUGCAAGGUACACCCUCGCCCCGCGCUAUCAGCGAUAACGCCCCUCUCCGUGUCAACACUGGGCUUUGGCUGUGGCAAUGAAUCACUGGGCACCUCUCGGUCAGGGUUUCCCACUAGAGCUGCAGAGCGCUCAGAUGGCGCAGAGCUGCCUCUAAAAGGCAAAGGGCUCAUUAGCCCGGAUGAGCUGCUCAGGAAUCUGCAGCUUUGCUUUUUGCCACCGAAGAAUGGGCUUUGGCAAGAAGCUGCUUUGCUUCAGGAACAGCUACACGUUGCCUUACAGCCACUGAUGGGCUCUUCCUCAGUGCUUUCUGUUUAACGCUGCACAGCCGUCUCAUUAAGCCUCUGAGAACGCAAAUAAAGGAUGCUAAUG